rnacentral:rRNA from 1 species
UGUGCAGAGGGGAAUAGCAGGUUAUGCGUCUUCGUUAGGGACUACUACUGUUACAUGCUGCAAACACGGCCUGCGAUCUUCAAUCCCAUACUCUGUGGAGCACGCCUGCUACAGCAAUGGGUCGACAUGUACAUCAAGAUUGAGAGUUGUCGGUUGAGGUGGUACAGGAAGAACCAGACGCAGAUUCGUGCCGACUUGUAUAAAGGAGUUGUUGAUGCGAUCACAUCGGGGGAGACAAGAGCAAGCGCUGUUGGCACCCGAAUAGUUCUCCCUGGAACAUACCCUGGUGGCAACCGCGACAUGAAGAAGAGGCAUAUGGAUGCCAUGGCAAUUGUCCAUACAUACGGGAAGCCUGACAUCUUCUUGACCAUGACUUGCAACCCUAAAUGGGAAGAGAUAACAAAUGAGUUGCUUCCUGGUCAGACGGCGCAAGACCGACCUGAUAUUGUGGCUCGCGUGUUCUACGGCAAACUAGAGGCUAUGAAAUACAUGUUGUUCAAGAAGCAUAUCCUGGGUGUUGUGGUCGCUUACGUUUACGUA